UAAAAUAUUUGACAACACUUGCUCACAAAUAUGGCAACUCUUUUAAAAGGUUCGGUUUAUUCAUCCUAAAACUAGCUCUUUAUAAGUGAAUUGUAAACCUUUCAAUAAAAUUCCCACAAAUAUUUCCCCCAAUUAUUUCUCUUAAGUGAAAUAUUCCCCCCAGUUCUGAAGAAACCUCUAAAAUAUUCCUCCUUUGAAAUUUCCCAAUCCCUUUCCGUGUACUCCGACUCCUCCACCCGCUUACAACGACCAAGUCUAUUCAGAACAAAAGAUGGAGUUUCGGCAAUGAAACUAAUUGAGAUGGUCUUGCACUGACUCAACUUGUGUUGGCUCCUUCGGCGACACUUCCUCUGCAGCACCCAGUCAAGUGCCGCCAUCGAUUUGUCUGCACCUUUUGUUCCUUUACGAAAAUCGAUAACUCUGCUUCCAUACUUUUUAUGCAAGGGCGAGAUAAGUAGAUCUGACCAUCAACGACAGUGAUGAAAGACUUGAAAAUUCGUCUCUAGAGGGAGAUAGGUAUGAAUAUGGUAUCGUUAUGUAAAAAAUCAGGUUGUUGGUUCAUAACUACAUGAAAAGAGACAUACAUUGGCAGAACUUAGUUGAGAACACAAAGCAGAGAAAUGCACUUUAUAAGGUUACUUAAGCAAAUAUCUGGUAAUUUUUCUAUCCAAUUAAACAAUUGCUUUAUUUUUCAAGCUUCUUGCUCGUAGAAUUCUAAAACAUAUACUACUGUUGAAGCCGAAACUAUGAUUUUAUCCACCAGUUAUUUUCUCUAAAAUCAGUACUCCAUUAUAACAUAUGUUCAACUUCAUUAGAAUGUUUUAUGCUUCAUACCACCUAGAAAUUAGAAAAAUAUUUCAUACCACCUAAAAGUUUAUGCCUUCUUAUUACUUAGUUUUAUCGUCUUUGAGGACAUUCAUAAGGCGAAGCGAAAAGCAUCUUACCUACAUAUUUGUGAAAUCAAACAAAUUAUUGUCUUGUACAAACAGAGGCGGAUCCAGGAUUUGAGCGCAGCUGGGGCACCACUAUUGACAUAGAUAUGUCUGCUAGUAACGACAAAAUUUGACGUGUUAACUCCUUAAAAACUUAGUGACUUUCAGUCAGUGAUCGAAAGUAUAUUAAAAAAUAUCAAAAAUUUAGUCUAAUAAGAUCACGAUUGAAAGUCUGUAAAGCAGAAGUCUCAGUCGUUGUCGUUAAAUCGAUGGACAUCUACUACUUUGCCGAAAUGAUCCUUGAAGGCAGAAGCUUUUUUGGAGUUUUUUUAAUUACUGUUUUUGGGAAAAAUUGAUAUACUUAUUUUUAUACAUGUAAAGAAACUGGUAAUGCUUAUAAACUUAGUUAGCAUGAUAAAGAAGAUGAUUGACUUCUUGCUAAUGAAAUAUCUUAUCCCCUUCUAAUUUCCUUUAA